rnacentral:rRNA from 1 species
UACGUAGGGGGCUAGCGUUGUCCGGAUUUAUUGGGCGUAAAGAGCGUGUAGGCGGUCAGGUAGGUCGGUUGUGAAAACUGGAGGCUCAACCUUCAGAGGUCGACCGAAACCCCUGGCUAGAGUCCGGGAGAGGAGAGUGGAAUUCCUGGUGUAGCGGUGAAAUGCGCAGAUAUCAGGAAGAACACCCGUGGCGAAAGCGGCUCUCUGGAACGGUACUGACGCUGAGACGCGAAAGCGUGGGGAGCGAACAGG